rnacentral:rRNA from 1 species
CGGUAAUUCCAGCUCCAAUAGCAUAUACUAACGUUGUUGCAGUUAAAAAGCUCGUAGUUGGAUUUCUGGUCGAUGGCGGUCGGGUGGAGCCUCGUUGUUCCACUUGUCGUUCAUUGGUCAAAAUUUGUCACUAAUCUUCGUGUGUCCUUCAAUGGACUCCGGAGACAAAUGACUCGUUUACUUUGAGAAAAUUAGAGUGUUCAAAGCAGGCAAUCGCCUUGAAUAUGUUAGCAUGGAAUAAUAACAUAGGACUUAGGUUCUAUUUGUUGGUUGUUCGAGAACUUGAGUAAUGAUUGAUAAGGACGGUUGGGGGCAUCCGUAUUCCCAGGCGAGAGGUGAAAUUCUUGGACCUUGGGAAGACGAACAGAUGCGAAAGCGUUUGCCAAGGACGUUCUCUUUAAUCAAGAACGAAAGUUGGGGGAUCGAAGACGAUCAGAUACCGUCGUAGUCUCAACUAUAAACUAUGCCAGCUAGGGAUCAGUGAACGUGAUUUACGACUUCAUUGGCACCUUACGAGUAAUCAAAGCAUUCGGGUUCCGGGGGGAGUAUGGUCGCAAGGCUGAAACUUAAAGGAAUUGACGGAAGGGCACCACCAGGAGUGGAGCCUGUGGCUUAAUUUGACUCAACACGGGAAAACUUACCAGGUCCGGACAUAGUAAGGAUUGACAGAUUGAAAGCUCUUUCUUGAUUCUAUGGGUGGUGGUGCAUGGCCGUUCUUAGUUGGUGGAGUGAUUUGUCUGGUUAAUUCCGUUAACGAACGAGACCCGCGCCUGCUAAAUAGGAGCCACACCACGGUGUCGGCUCGCUUCUUAGAGGGACCAUCCUGCGUCUAGCGGAAGGAAGUUGCGGGCAAUAACAGGUCUGUGAUGCCCUUAGAUGUUCUGGGCUGCACACGGGCUACACUGGAGGGUACAACGAGCUUCUCGCUAUUCCGAAAGGUACGGCUAAUCUUUGAAUACCCUCCGUGAUUGGGAUAGACCCUUGCAAUUUUUGGUCUUCAACGAGGAAUUCCUAGUAAACGCGUGUCAACAACACGCAUUGAUUACGUCCCUGCCCUUUGCACACACCGCCCGUCGCUCCUACCGAUUGAAUGUUUCGAUGAGUAAUUCGGAGGAGGUAGCCGAAGGCGUCAGCUGGAGGCCUCAGCCAAAGUUUUGCAAAUCUGAACAUUUAGAGGAAGGAGAAGUCGUAACAAGGUAACC